rnacentral:rRNA from 1 species
GAUGAACGCCGGCGGCGUGCCUAAUACAUGCAAGUCGAGCGAACUGAUUAGAAGCUUGCUUCUAUGACGUUAGCGGCGGACGGGUGAGUAACACGUGGGCAACCUGCCUGUAAGACUGGGAUAACUUCGGGAAACCGAAGCUAAUACCGGAUAGGAUCUUCUCCUUCAUGGGAGAUGAUUGAAAGAUGGUUUCGGCUAUCACUUACAGAUGGGCCCGCGGUGCAUUAGCUAGUUGGUGAGGUAACGGCUCACCAAGGCAACGAUGCAUAGCCGACCGGGGAGGGUGAUCGGCCACACUGGGACUGAGACACGGCCCAGACUCCUACGGGAGGAAGCAGUAGGGAAUCUUCCACAAUGGACGAAAGUCUGAUGGAGCAACGCCGCGUGAGCGAUGAAGGCCUUCGGGUCGUAAAGCUCUGUUGUUAGGGAAGAACAAGUACCGGAGGAACUGCCGGUACCUUGACGGUACCUAACCAGAAAGCCACGGCUAACUACGUGCCAGCCGCCGCGGUAAUAC